ensembl:lncRNA novel transcript
ACGCGCGGGGGCGCCCUGACAGUCCCCUGCUGCUCCUCUGCUGGGCGCCACAACUUUCCCCAACCCGUGCCAACUUCCAGGGCACAGCCUCUGCGGAGAGUAGCAGGGUACAGUGAAUAACCCAGACACUAAAAAGCAAGGCAGCGGGGGUCCUACCAGCGCGGCUUUUGAUGACGUCGGUGAAUCCGUCCUCAGCGGCAUUUUCUGGGGUCUCCUGCAGACCCCUCAGCUGUGCCAUAACCAAACGCCACGUGCCUCAGCUUCCUCACGCCCCAAACUUUGGAAGGCAGGUCACAUGGAAUCUACACAUGGAAGGACAUAGGCAUUGCAUGCAGGUAUCCGGAAUCAUUGAUAUUGGUCUUAAAAUUUGGAAGUUUCCACUUUUGCUAAGCCAUGUGAGGACACAACAAGAAGGCAUCACCAAUGAAGAAUAGGCCUUCAUCAGACAUCCAAUCUGCAGGCCUCUUGAUCUUGGACUUCCUAAUCUACAGAAUUGUGUGUUCCUGGUGAUAUGUGGUCAUAAACCCUUCAGACAGCAAUGUGUUGAAAAAGAAGAAGAAAGAAAGCUUUCUUAAAAAUUUUCUCACUGAUAUUCCAUUUCUUAAGAGUUGAUUUUGUGCAUGAGUAAUUAGCACAAAAUGCUCGUAGACAAUAAAUAUCUAUGUGGAUAAUAUCACUAAGCAUAUGCAAUCAAGGCACAGUCUUUUGAAGAACAUCAUUUUGAGAAGACAGUGCCUAAAGAUGACGAUUUAAUAUGUACAGUUGCAGAGCACUUCUCCUUGCUGCUACCAUGUGAAGAAGAAUGUGUUUUCUUCCCCUUCUGCCAUGAUUUGGCACUCCUCCAUCUCUCUGGGAGAUCCAACACUUGAGGGCUUAUGAGCCGUUUCAGUAUGAAUGAAAGGGAGAAGAACAGAACAGAGGCUAUAAAGCAUGGCUUCAGCAUCUGCUUCUGCUGAGAGCCUCAGAAAGCUUCCGGCUAUGGCAGAAAGUGAAGAAUUACAAAUCUAGUUUAGCCCAGGACCAGAUGGAUUCACAGCCGAAUUCUACCACAAAUUCAAAGAAGAGCUGGUACCAUUCCUUCUGAAAAUAUUCCAAACAAUUGAAAAGGGGGGACUCCUCCCUAACUCAUUUUAUGAAGCCAGCAUCAUCCUGAUACCAAAACCGGGAAGAGACACAACAAAUAAGAAAACUUCAGGCCAAUAUCCUUGAUGAACAUUGAUGAGAAAAUCCUCAAUAAAAAACUGGCAAACCGAAUCCAGCAGCCCAUCAAAAAACUUAUCCACCACAAUCAAGUUGGCUUCAUCCCUGGGAUGCAAGGCUGGUUAAACAUAUGCAAAUCAAUAAACAUAAUUCAUCAUAUAAACAGAACCAAAGACAAAAACCACAGGAUUAUCUUAAUAGAUGCAGAAAAGGCCUUUGAUACAAUUCGACAUUCCUUCAUGUUAAAAACUCUCAAUAAACUAGGCAUUGAUGGAACACAUUUCAAAAUAAUAAGAGCUGCUUAUGACAAACCCAGAACCAAUAUCAUAUUGAAUAGGCAAAAGCUGAAAUCAUUCCCUUUGAAAACCAGCACAAGACAAGGAUGCCCUCUCUCACCGCUCCUAUUCAACAUAUUAUUGGAAGUUCUGGGCAAGAGAAAGAAAUAGAGUAUUCAAAUAGGAAGAGAGGAAGUCAUGUUGCAUCUGUUUGCAGGUGACAUGAUAUUAUAUUUAGAAAACCCCAUCAUCUCAGCCAGAAAACUUCUUGAAAUGAUAAGCAACUUCAGCAAAGUCUCAGGAUGCAAAAUCAACGUGCAAAAAUCACAAGCAUUCUCUUACACCAACAAUAGGCAAGCAGAAAGCCAAAUCACGAAUGAACUCCCAUUCACAAUCCCUACAAAGAGAAUAAAAUACCUAGGAAUAGAGCUAACAAGGAAUGUGAAGGACCUCUUCAAGAAGAACUACAAACCACUGCUCAAGGAAAUAAGAGAAGGCACAAACAAAUGGAAAAACAUUCCACCCUCAUGGACAGGAAGAAUCAAUAUCAUGAAAAUGGUUAUACUGGCCAAAGUAAUUUAUAGAUUCAAUGCAAUUCUCAUCAAACUACCACUGACAUUCUUCACAGAAUUAGACAAAAACUAUUUUAACUUUCAUGUGGAAUCAAAGAAGACCCGUAUAGCCAAGGCGAUCCUAAACAAAAAGAACAAAGCAGGAGGCAUCACACUACCUGACUUCAAACUAUACUACAAUGCUACAGUAGCCAAAACAGCAUGGUACUGGUACCAAAACAGACAUAUGGACCAAUGGAGCAGAACAGAGACCUCAGAAAGAACACCACACAUCUACAACCAUCUGAUCUUUGAUAAACCUGACAAAAACAAGCAAUGGGGAAAGGAUCUCCUAUUCAGAAAAUGGUGCUGGGAAAACUGGCUAGUCAUAUGCAGAAAACUGAAACUGGACCCGUUCCUUACACCUUGUACAAAAAUUAACUCAAGAUAGAUUAAAGACUUAAAUGUAAAACCCAAAACCAUAAAAACCCUACAAGAAAACCUAGGCAAUACCAUUCAGGAUGUAGGCAUGGGCAAAGACUUCAUGACACAAACACCAAAAACAAUUGCAACAAAAGCCAAAAUUGACAAAUGGAAUCUAAUUAAACUAAAGAGCUUCUGCACAGCAAAAGGAACUAGCAUCAGAGAGAACAGGCAACAUACAGAAUGGGAGAAAUUUUUUGCAAUCUACCCACCUGAUGAAGGUCUAAUAUCCAGAAUUUACAAGGAACUUAAACACAUUUACAGGAAAAAAAAACAACCCCAUCAAAAAGUGGACAAAGGAUAUGAGCAGACACUUCUCAAAAGAAGACAUUUACACAGACAACAAACAUAUAAAAAAUGCUCAACAGCACUGAUCAUCAGAGAAAUGCAAAUCAAAACCACAAAGAGACACCAUCUUACGCCAAUCAGAAUAGCGAUUAUUGAAAACUCAAGAAACAACAGAUGCUGGCGAGGCUGUGGAGAAAUAGGAACUCUUUUACACGGUUGGUGGGAAUGUAAAGUAUUUCAACCAUUGUGGAAGACAGUAUGGCGAUUCCUCAAGGAUCUAGAACCAGAAAUACCAUUUGACCCAGCAAUCCCAUUACUGAGUAUAUACCCAAAGGAAUAUAAAUCAUGCUACUAUAAAGAUAAAUGCACAUGUAUGUUUAUUACAGCACUGUUUACAAUAGCAAAGACAUGGAAGCAACCUAAAUGCCCAUCAAUAAUGAGACCGGAUAAAGAAAAUGUGGUACAUAUACAUCAUGGAAUACUAUGCAGCCAUAAAAAGGAAUGAGAUCAUGUCCUUUUCAGGGGCAUGGAUGAAGCUGGAAGCCAUCAUCCUCAGCAAACUAACACAGGAACAGAAAACCAAACACCGCACGUUCUCACUCAUAAGUGGGAGUUGAACAUUGAGAACAUGAACACAGAGAGGGGAACAACACACACCAGGGCCUAGUAGGGGGUAAAGGGUGAGGGGAGGGAAUUUAUAGGAUGGGUCAAUAGGUGCAGCAAGCCACCAUGGCACACAUAUACCUAUGUAACAAACCUGCACGU